UACGAAGGGGGCUAGCGUUGUUCGGAUUUACUGGGCGUAAAGCGCACGUAGGCGGAUCUUUAAGUCAGAAGGUGAAAUCCCAAGGCUCAACCUUGGAACUGCCUUUGAUACUGGGGAUCUUGAGUCCGGGAGAGGUGAGUGGAACUGCGAGUGUAGAGGUGAAAUUCGUAGAUAUUCGCAAGAACACCAGUGGCGAAGGCGGCUCACUGGCCCGGUACUGACGCUGAGGUGCGAAAGCGUGGGGAGCAAACAGG
rnacentral:rRNA from 1 species